AACUUUCGGCAAUGGAUCACUCGGCUCGUGUGUCGAUGAAGAGCGCAGCCAGCUGCGUGAACUAAUGUGAAUUGCAGGAUACAUUGAACAUCGAUAUCUUGAACGCAUAUUGCGGCCUCGGGCAUUCCCGAGGCCACGCCUGUCUCAGGGUCGGUUAAACGUCAAUCGCGAGCCGCUCUCAAGGAGCUCGCGCAUUGGGCGUCGCAGGACUGUCGUCGUAACCGACUGACGGCUGCGUCGCCUCAAGUACAGACGGGUUUGCUCGGUCGUCGGCGCCUAGCCGAACCGGGACGGUGACUCGGCUCUCGAAGAGUUGCUACAUCUCCCGGCAGCGGCGUCGUCGCCGCUCGAUCGACAACCAAGAUACUGAAAUUUAUCAACGACUUCGACCUGAGAUCAGACGAGAUUACCCGCUGAAUUUAAGCAUAUCAAUAAGCGGAGGCU
rnacentral:misc_RNA from 1 species